CUAAUUGAUGAUGAUUAACUGAAGCAGUAUAUCCUUGGUGGUCUUGAUGGAGAAUAUAACUCUGUGGUUGCCUCUAUUAACGUUGUUCCUACCACAACUCUUGCUGAUGUUUGUGCACAACUACGGCAUAUGAUU